UGGGGAAUCUUGGACAAUGGGGGCAACCCUGAUCCAGCCAUGCCGCGUGGGUGAAGAAGGCCUUAGGGUUGUAAAGCCCUUUCAGUCGUGACGAUGAUGACGGUAGCGACAGAAGAAGCCCCGGCUAACUCCGUGCCAGCAGCCGCGGUAAUACGUAGGGGGCGAGCGUUGUCCGGAAUUAUUGGGCGUAAAGAGCGUGUAGGCGGCCUGGUAAGUCUGCCGUGAAAACUCGGGGCUCAACCCUGAGCGUGCGGUGGAUACUGCCAGGCUAGAGGUUGGUAGAGGCGAGUGGAAUUCCCGGUGUAGCGGUGAAAUGCGCAGAUAUCGGGAGGAACACCAGUAGCGAAGGCGGCUCGCUGGGCCAUUCCUGACGCUGAGACGCGAAAGCGUGGGGAGCAAACAGGAUUAGAUACCCCCGUAGUCC
rnacentral:rRNA from 1 species